rnacentral:lncRNA from 1 species
AUCCUACUCUAAUAAGGCUUUAAUAUCUGGAGCUCAUAGGUGGGAGAUAAAAUAUACAUACUCACAAGACAUUUAUUGUAUAGUCAAACCAUGGAUCCAAAGAAACAAAUCAAUAAGUCAAAUCAAGAUGUGCAUGUGUGGCGAAUGAAUGAUGUAUGGUGAUGAUGGUGAUAACAAUGGUGAAAGUCUAAUUCUUUUGCUCUUUGCGGGGAUACAUACCUUCCUUGCUUUUUGAAACUUUGCGAGGAGAAUGAGAUGCUCUAUAUUUUCUUUUUCUUUCCUCUCAGGUGGGUAUCUUCUACCCCUAAUUCUACUGUCGGACACUUGUCCAUUUUUACCUCUCGUCUCACUUUUUCUUUUCUUUCGAGGUUCCGGGCACUUGCCCCUUUUUAUUUCCUCGUAUCUUUUCUCUCUUUUUUUAGAGCACUCAUCUCUUGAGAUAAUAUAGCAAGUGGUAGUAACAAGAUAACUUGAGCAUUUAUUUCACAAUAGAAAUAUUUUUUUGGCUAUUCUCUCCCGGUUUAGGAGUAGAAUAUUUUUGGGUGGUUCUAGAGAUGGAAAUGAGUGGAUAUAUGUAGAUGGUACUUCCGGAGUAGAAAUAGCAUAUGUGAGUGAACGUGCAAGUGAAUCUUGAUUUAACCACAUGACAAGCUCCUAAGGGUCUACACAGCUUGACCACACUCAAUGCUCAUAAGUAGUAAAAAGUAAAUGUGUGGCUCAAAGUCUAGCA